rnacentral:lncRNA from 1 species
CUCCAUUUCAAAAACGAAACAAAACAGAACAACAACAACAACAACAACAAAAAACCCAAAAAGAACCCAGUCAUCACAGAAUCUGUACAUGGCCUGUGGGUGGUAGAUGCUGGCCCUACACAUGAACGGUUCCAUGGUCCUCAUCCAUGACAGAGUAGGACCUAUGACCCAGAUCCUUUGGCAGUGAGUUCAGUGCUCUUUCUUCUUAUGCCAUGCUCGGCCAUGAGGAGAAAUCCUGAAGUUCUGCACAUUCUUUGAAAAAACACAGUGAUGGAAGUGAGACAGAUUGUGGGCACAGGGCCAUAGCCCUGUUGAAUCUGCACUUGUUCCACAAGGUUUGAGUUGUUCCCUCAGACUUUCAGAAAAUCAUUGUUGUGCUAAUGUUUCUUCUUGCUUUCUUUUAAGGAAAAGUGUUUGAGAAGAGUACAACACAGCCACCACCAUUUUUUCCUAGGUCAACAAGCACGCCUGUGUUCUGAUAAUUAAGAGUCCUAAUGAUACACAUCUAAUGGUAAAAAGUUCAGGGUUACUGACUUUAGUCAUGGCUGGAUCCAGGUGUUUAACAUGAUUUUAUCAGGAAGUUGCUUCUCUCUCUGCCUCUGCCUUCCUUGGCAUUGAAUUCAUUUUUAGGAUGUGUGGGGGUUUACUGUUGAGGUGGUCACUGGCAGCUCUAGGUUUAUGUUCUCACAAAUGAAUGACUCUUUCUUGAUCACACCAGCAGUACUUCUAGGAUUAUCUCUUAUUGGACCAAUUUAUGUCCCAUUUCUACUGCUGAGCCAUUUCAUCAGUUCAUUGUUAAACCAUUCAGACAAAAUACAUUGACUGCUUUCCAUGUUCCAGCAGCCACACACUUUUUAUGAGGAGCCUUCAAAUAUUAAAAUAAAGGAAUACUAGCAGUAUUUUUUAGGAAUAAUGUGUUUUUCAAGUUCAAUGCUAUAUUACAUUAAGCACUGUGAAGCCAGGCUGUGGGAACAAUAAAGCUUUUUUUGAUGAACCUCAAAAUUGCAAAUUGAGGUGGUGAAUGACAGUCAUCUCCUUUUCUCUGAGGAGCCCAAAUGUCAGAAUGCACCCAUGUCUGAGGUCAUCCUUCCUUUGAAAUACCUGCCACGAUGACUGCAGCUCCUGCAGGUUUCCCUCCCCAGGUCCCGUGGGAAGAUGUCCGUUAUCUCUUUGAUGAGAUCAUGUAUGGAGGCCACAUCACAGAUGACGGGGAUUGCAAACUGUGUCGGGUGUAUUUAGAAGAAUUCAUGAAUCCAUCUCUGCUAGCUGCCCUGUCAGGAACACAUGCAUGUGGUGAAAAACCGAGACUUCCAGCCAACAGCCAUGUGAGCGAGCCAUCUUGGAAGUGGAUCCUCCAGCCCCAGUCAAGCCUUCAGAUGACUGCAGCUUUGGCCAACAUCUUGACUGCAACUUCCUGAGAGACCCUGAGCAAGAAUCACACCAUGAAGAUGUUCCUAGUUUUCUGAUUCUCAGAAACUGGCUGCCAUGUGAAGAAGGACAUGUUUGCUUCCACUUCUGCCACGAUUCAGUGUGAGAAUGGACUAAUACAGGGUCUGUGUUGGACAGGAAGGACAUGAAGAGAGGAAGGGCUGGUGGAGAGAAUGCAGAGUAGUCAUAAGACACGAGCCUCCUCUGAUGGUCGACUUUGCCUUGAGAACUCAGAUGACCUUGCCAGAAUCUUCUUAGAUAGCUUGGAACUCUAGAACAUUUCUACUCACCCUUCUUCCUUCUCCCAUUCACUCAAGGCCAGACCUGCAAUGUGAUCUGACAACUCCCAGCCUUACAAGGUUCUCUUCCAAUUUUCUCUCACAGGGAUUUUCCCUAAUAAAAUCAUCACACAUUUAA